rnacentral:rRNA from 1 species
UACAGAGGUCUCAAGCGUUGUUCGGAUUCAUUGGGCGUAAAGGGCUCGUAGGCGGUUCGUCACGUCGGGAGUGAAAACUCGGGGCUUAACCCCGAGCCUGCUUCCGAUACGGGCAGACUAGAGGUAGGCAGGGGAGAGCGGAACUCCUGGUGUAGCGGUGGAAUGCGCAGAUAUCAGGAGGAACACCGGUGGCGAAGGCGGAUCUCUGGGCCGUAACUGACGCUGAGGAGCGAAAGCAUGGGGAGCGAACAGG